rnacentral:rRNA from 1 species
AAUGCCGGAUGCUCCGACUCCUCGCAUGGGGUGUCGGGAAAGAUUUCAUCGGUAUGGGAUGGGGUCGCGUCCUAUCAGGUAGUCGGCGGGGUAACGGCCCACCGAGCCUACGACGGGUAGCCGGCCUGAGAGGGCGACCGGCCACAUUGGGACUGAGAUACGGCCCAGACUCCUACGGGAGGCAGCAGUGGGGAAUAUUGCACAAUGGGCGCAAGCCUGAUGCAGCGACGCCGCGUGCGGGAUGACGGCCUUCGGGUUGUAAACCGCUUUUGAUCGGGAGCAAGCCUUCGGGUGAGUGUACCUUUCGAAUAAGCACCGGCUAACUACGUGCCAGCAGCCGCGGUAAUACGUAGGGUGCAAGCGUUAUCCGGAAUUAUUGGGCGUAAAGGGCUCGUAGGCGGUUCGUCGCGUCCGGUGUGAAAGUCCAUCGCUUAACGGUGGAUCUGCGCCGGGUACGGGCGGGCUGGAGUGCGGUAGGGGAGACUGGAAUUCCCGGUGUAACGGUGGAAUGUGUAGA